CAUGGAGGGUGAGAAUCCCGUUCAUGGUUAAUUCUAAGAUGCUUUAUGAUGCGUUUUCGAAGAGUCGAGUUGUUUGGGAAUGCAGCUCUAAAUGGGAGGUAAAUUUCUCCUAAGGCUAAAUAUUGGCGAGAGACCGAUAGCGAACAAGUACCGUGAGGGAAAGAUGAAAAGAACUUUGAAAAGAGAGUUAAACAGUACGUGAAAUUGUUGAAAGGGAAACGAUUGAAGUCAGUCGUACCAGCGGGAAAUCAACCUUUCGAGUGGGGGUUUUGGAGUUUUGAAGAGUGUUAAAACCUUUGAGAUUUCAAAAAUUUCGCUCUUUUGGUGUACUUUCUCGUGGGUAGGUUAACAUCGAUUUUGAUCAUCAUAAAAAGAUUGGAGGAAUGUAGCUUCGAUCUUGUAUUGAAGUGUUAUAGCCUUUGGUAAAUGUGAUGAUUAGGAUCGAGGAUUGCAACGAAUACCCUUUUGGGCUAUCCGCCUGAUCUCUGAUACGUGGCCUUGGUAUCGAAAGCGUGCUUAUGGUAUUGAGGUAUUACGGUCAAAAGGUUAGAACGGAUUACAUUCGUUAAGGAUGUUGACGUAAUGG
rnacentral:rRNA from 1 species